rnacentral:rRNA from 1 species
AGAGUUUGAUCAUGGCUCAGAUUGAACGCUGGCGGCAUGCCUUACACAUGCAAGUCGAACGGCAGCGCGGGCUUCGGCCUGGCGGCGAGUGGCGAACGGGUGAGUAAUAUAUCGGAACGUGCCCAAGAGUGGGGGAUAACUAGUCGAAAGAUUAGCUAAUACCGCAUACGAUCUACGGAUGAAAGUGGGGGAUCGCAAGACCUCAUGCUCCUGGAGCGGCCGAUAUCUGAUUAGCUAGUUGGUGGGGUAAAGGCCUACCAAGGCGACGAUCAGUAGCUGGUCUGAGAGGACGACCAGCCACACUGGGACCGAGACACGGCCCAGACUCCUACGGGAGGCAGCAGGGGGGAAUUUUGGACAAUGGGGGCAACCCUGAUCCAGCAAUGCCGCGUGUGUGAAGAAUGCCUUCGGGUUGUAAAGCACUUUU